ensembl:lncRNA
AUUUUGCAUCAUAAAGAGAAUUGAGCGUCAACCUGUAUGACACAGCUUGGUUCUGAGCCAGUAGAAUUUCCUUCUCAUGAAGCAAGUCCUGAAGAGAAAGUGACCAGGCAAGACACAAAGAGACAGAGAACACCGACCGAGAGGGAAGAAACGCAGAGAGAACAGGACUCACCUGACAUCACAGCCGGCCCCCAAGAAAAACCUUCUGAUGAUGGGAUCACAGAAUGCAGGAGCUUUAAGGGAUCUCAGAGUAAGGGGUUCAAGGUUGAACAUCCAGCCGUCCCUCCAAGCUGAGAAUGAAAGAACUGAAGUUGGAGGUACGUAGUGUUUUCCGAAAGUCAAGUACAAAAUGACAGACAUGGAAAUAAAACUCACUCCUCCCUUCCAGUCCAGCUUUCCAAGUUUGCUUUUGCUCCUCCAUGCUCCUCAGCCGACAGUGGCAAUUGGUGGAAAAUGAGAAGAGGAAAAAUGAGUCCAGUGGAUUCUGGAGUUUCAUCCAAGAAGAGGAGGAAUUGCUCUGUUCAAAUGCAGGCUCCUUCUGGUAGUCAAUUUUAACAGACCCUUCCAGAACCACGAGAGAUUGUAGUUCCACCUUGGAGGAUACCCUGGGAAUUAUUCACGCCUGUUUAUCUCAUGCACUUCCUGAGAAACUGCUUAUUUGCUCUGUGAUUUGAGAACAUUUUGUCUUGCUGCAGGGGUUCUUGUUUAUCUCAGAAGCACUGAGCAGCUCCAAUGAGCCAGAAAUGAACAAGCCAAUUCUACCGUGUUCAUUGAGCACCUACUGGUGCUGGAAAGGGUGCCAGACUUUCAAAACUCUCAUCCCAUUUAAACCUCGUAAAACACCCUGGAGUGUCUAUUGCUCUCCCUUUUAAAGAAAUGAAAGCUUGGAGAAGUUACAAAACUUGCCCAAGGUCUGAUGGCUAUAAAUGGCAGCGUCAGGAAACAAAUCCAUACCCAUCCAGCUCCAAAGACUGAACUAGUCCAUUUCUAUUGCAAGAAAGUCAACUUCCUUUUGAGAAAAGAAUAAGGUACAGGUGGUGGAGGGAUGAGUCAUUGAGAAUGUACAGCGAGCCAGGCUCCAGUAGACAUUUGCAUACACUGUCUCCUCAGUGUUCAGAACGGUCCUCCUCCUACCAGGCUUCUUGAGCCCCACGUUAAAGAUGAAGUGACAGAGUCUAAAAGAGGUCCAGUGUCUCGCAUGAGGUUGUACCAGCUGAAAGUGAUGGAGUCAGGGCUUCAAGCUAGGACUCCUGGCUCCAAACAACCACGUUCUUUUCACUGCGUGACACCACACAGCAGAAAUUUCAAGCAUGCAAUUUUUCUGUAGGAAAACAUGUCAUUUGGGGCUCAGUUAGUCCUUACAUGCCUCCUUUGAAGGAGUAGAUAUUUGCUGUUUCGCUUGCCAGAAAUUAUUUUUUUUAAUCUGGUAAGAGUGUUCUGACUUCCCUUUAGGAUAGCGUGGGGUACUUCUCUGCUCUUGAGUUCAGUCUCAGUGGGACCAUCAAUCAAGUUUUCCCACCGUCCCCUGCCCAAGGUGUGGACAUGUGACCCAGUUCUGCAACUUGUCUCUCUCUGCUUAGAGUCUGAAAUUUAAAUGGAGAGGCUAAAGGAUGAGAAACAGCUGGAGCCAAGGCUUCCUAAUUGGAGAGUGCACAGAGACUAUCCCCAUGGGACCACAUCUUGCAAUGCACGCCAUUGUCCCAACACAACACUCCCUUUCGCUCUCCAAAGUGUCCUGGUCGAGAUGAUAAAUUAUCCAGUCACCUAACUACCAUCUCAAUUCCUGUAGCCUGGAUUCCUUCUUGUGUCUGGAUCUUCAACAUCCUCUUCUGUUAUGUAAGCUGCCUCAUACCUCUCCAAUAACUUAUUUUUUGUGUAAGUGAAUCAAGUCUGUGUCUUGUUUGCAAUAAUAACAACAAUUUGGAUUGUGCCCCUUAAAUUAUUCACCAAUAUGACUUUGUUCAGAAGAGGUCCUUAAUAAUUAGGCGGCAGGCGUUUUUGACUGAUAAUAUUCAGCCUCCUUUCCCAACAAUACCCAGGUUUGCUCAAAGGGCUUGUAGACAAAUGUCCACAGUAGUAUGAACAGAAGUUAUUCUCAAAAUUGUGACUUCCCCUCACAGGAGUUGACCCAGCCCUUGCCAUUGCUCAGUGCAAAAGCAACAACCAACCCAGAGGCUUCUUAUGGUACCAUUCCUUCAAAGGAUCUGCCAGCCUUAGCUGGAGGCGGACUGAUUAAAAAGAAUUUCAUUCAUUUUGGUAAGGCAGAAGUUUGUCCCCCUGGAAUUGAUGCCUAUUCUAGAUUUGACUUUGCUUCCCCCAUCCCUGAUGCUUACCCAGCCUAUGGACUUACCGAAUGCUUUAUCCUUUGCUCUGGGAUCUCUCACCAAGGAGCACUUGCUAUAGCAAUGAAGUAGGACAAUGGAGGUAUGCCUAUGGGAUUCACUGCUUUAUACUGAACCCAACUGCCCCAAAGCAAGCAAAUGACUUAUAAAUGGGUGAGGAGGCCUACUGAUGGCUCAGCCUUGGAGUCUGCAUGGAGACAACAUCUUGUAAGGAUGGGUGCUAUCUUGCACAUGAGGUAUAUGCUCUGAACCGACAACCAGCGCCUGGUGCUACUUCUCUCAUUGCCAGAAUAGAGGAUGGUAAGAACCAAGGAACCAAAGUGGAAAUGAUGCAGUUCUGAAUUUCCUAAGGACCUGCUUACAAAGUUUUGGUUUCCCACCACUGCAAUUAUGGCCUUUGUUGUUUUGGAUCUGUUUCAGUCAGGAUCCCCAUAGAAAGUGCACGCAUACACUAGGAUAAUUCAAGUAGAGUUUAUUUAUAAGAGGAGUGUUAAAAAGUUGUAGGCAAAAUGCAGUAGAACCACAAGGGAUGGUGAAGAAACCCAAGGCCAGCAGCACUAGGGUUUCCAUCACCUCUGUGCCCAAGAGAAAGAGGGAGUGGAAGGGUUUAGGAAACCAGGAGAGUGAUGCCUGUGGAAUCAGCUGUUUUGAGAGGAGCCUAGACCUUCUGUUGAGAGACACAGUUAGCCAGAGGUCAUCUCAUAGGGAUGAAACCAGAGCAGUAAACACCCUGGCUGCACUCAUCCCCUCCCUCUCCUCCCAUGGGACUCUUUGGCCAACCUCAGCCUGAAGCCAAAGGACGUUAGAUCCUUUGAUAUGCAACCCACUGGAGCAGAGAUCAGAGUGGAGCACAGUAGCAUGUAUCUAGAGAGACAAAUAGGAGACAUUCAGCCCAGUACCCAAAGAAAGAGUGAGGAAACUUUUAUAAUUAACCACUAGCUACAAAUCAGUAUUUAUAAAAAGUCAAUUGUAUUUCUAUAAACCAGCAAUGAGUAACCAAAAAUUAAAUUUACACAUAUAUGCAUAUAUAAUAACUAAAAACCCUCAAAUACACAGAAAUAAAUUUAAUUAAAGAUGGACAAGACCUCUACACCCAAACUAUAAAACGUUAUUGAGAUGAACUAAAGAAGUCCCAAAUAAAUGAAGGGACACAUCAUGCUCAUGGUUUGAAAGAAUUAAUAUUGUUAAGCCAAUAUUGUCCUAUCCAUAACUGAUCUAUAGAUUUGAAUGCCGUUCUAAUCAGAAUUCCAAAUUUCUUCAUGGAAAUUGCAAGCUGAUUCUCCACUUUAUGUGGAAAUGCAAAGAGCCAAAAUAUGGCCAAGGCAGUCUUAAAGAAGAAGAAUAAAGUUGGAGGAUUUACUCUACCUGAUAUAAAUGCUUCUUAUAAAGCCUCAUUAAUUAAGACAGUGAGGCAUUGGUUCAAGGGCAGACAAAUAUAUCAAUGAACCAGAAUAGAGUCCCAAAAUAGACCCAGUCAAAUAAGGACACUUCAUUUAUGACACAGGUGACACUGCAGAGGAGUGAGUAAUGGACAAUCUUUUCAAUAAAUAGUGCUGUGUCAACUGAAAUUCAUAUGGAAAAAAUAAAUUGUGACCCAUAUCUUGUCUCCUACAUAAAAGUCAUUUCCAUGAG